rnacentral:rRNA from 1 species
GCUUAACACAUGCAAGUCGAGCGAGAAUCGUUUAUCGAAGGCUUCGGCUGGAAAUAGAUGAGGAAAGCGGCGAACGGGUGAGUAACGCGUGGGCAACCUGGCCUUAAGAAAAGGAUAGCCCCCGGAAACGGGGAGUAAUACUUUAUGAGAAUGAAAGAGGGCAUCCUACUUUCAUUCAAAGCGCAAGCGCUUAAGGAUGGGCCCGCGUAUCAUUAGCUAGUUGGUGAGAUAACAGCCAACCAAGGCAACGAUGAUUAGCCGGUCUGAGAGGGCGAACGGCCACAUUGGAACUGAGAGACGGUCCAAACUCCUACGGGAGGCAGCAGUGGGGAAUAUUGCGCAAUGGAGAAGAACUCUGACGCAGCAAUACCGCGUGAGCGAAGAAGGUCUUCGGAUCGUAAAGCUCUGUUAUCAGGGAAGAAGAAAAUGACGGUACCUGAUGAGCAAGUCCCGGCUAACUACGUGCCAGCCGCCGCAGUAACAC